rnacentral:ncRNA from 1 species
UCAGCUGUUUCCCGACUUACACAUGCAAGUCUCAGCACCCCUGUGAGAACGCCCUUCAAACCUGCUACAGGCGAAGGAGCUGGCAUCAGGCGCAGAAAUUCUUGCCCAAGACGCCUAGUUCUACCACACCCCCACGGGUAUUCAGCAGUGAUUAACUUUAAGUAUGAGCGCCAGCUUGACUUAGUUAGGGAGAAGAGAGCCGGCCAAUCCGGUGCCAGCCGCCGCGGUCACACCGUUAGACUCAAGUUGAUAUUUAACGGCGUAAAGAGUGAAUAAAGUUCCGAUCAGUUAGGGUCAAAUCUAAGCCAAGUUGUUAUAAGCUUGCUACUAGAGAAGUCCAAAAACGAAAGUUACCCUAAUCACACUUGAUGCACGACAGCUGGGGUACAAACUGGGAUUAGAUACCCCACUAUGCCCAGCCGUAAACUAUUAACUUACACCAAAAAACGCCAGGGGACUACGAGCAAAGCUUAAAACCCAAAGGACUUGACGGUGUCCUAUCCAGCUAGAGGAGCCUGUCCUAUAAUCGAUAAUCCCCGCUAUACCUCACCAUUUCUUGCUUAUCAGCCUGUAUACCGCCGUCGAAAGCUGACCGUAUGAACGUCCAAAGUCAGCUAAAUGGCCACCCGCCAAUACGUCAGGUCAAGGUGCAGCUUAUGAAAUGGGAAGAGAUGGGCUACAAUUUCUAGUAUAGAACAUACGGAUUGUUAGGUGAAACCCUAACAUGAAGGAGGAUUUAGUAGUAAAAAGAAAAUAGAGUGUUCUUUUGAAUUAGGCCCUGGGACGCGUACACACCGCCCGUCACCCCCCUCGAUAGCAUCUCUUAACAGUACAUAACACAAUAUUCGCGCCUU